GUUCCGGUAGAGAUCGAGGGAAGUUAGUACCGAAGCCUGAGAUGGAAGAUGGCGAGAAAAGCUGUGUGUAUUUCUGAGGUGCCCGUACCGCAAACCGACACAGGUAGGUAGGAAGAAGAUUCUAAGGCCAACGGGAGAAGGGUUGUUAAGGAACUCGGUAAAUUGACCCCGUAACUUCGGGAGAAGGGGUGCUCCAGAGAUGGAGCCGCAGAGAAUCGGCCCAAGCAACUGUUUACCAAAAACACAGGUUUGUGCUAAAUCGAAAGAUGACGUAUACGAGCUGACGCCUGCCCGGUGCUGGAAGGUUAAGAGGAGAUGUGCAAGCAUUGAAUCGAAGCCCCAGUGAACGGCGGCCGUAACAAUAACGGUCCUAAGGUAGCGAAAUUCCUUGUCAGGUAAGUUCUGACCCGCAUGAAAGGCGUAAUGAUUUGGGCACUGUCUCAACAGCCCGCCCGGCGAAAUUGUAGUACCGGUGAAGAUGCCGGUUACCCGCGACAAGACGGAAAGACCCCAUGGAGCUUUACUGUAGCCUAAUAUUGGGUUUCGAUGUUGCAUGCACAGGAUAGAUGGGACACAGGGAAACAAUCGCUUUGGCGGUUGCGGAGUGGCCGUUGGGAUACCAUCCUUGCGAUAUUGGAAUUCUAACCUGCGGCUCUGAAUCGAGUCGGGGGACAUUGUUAGGUGGGCAGUUUGACUGGGGCGGUCGCCUCCUAAAAAGUAACGGAGGCGUUCAAAGGUUCGCUCAGCUUGAACGGAAAUCAAGCAAAAGAGUGCAAACGCAGAAGCGAGCCUAACUGCGAGACUGACGGGUCGAGCAGUAACGAAAGUUGGAGUUAGUGAUCCGGUGGUAUGUGAGUGGAAAUGCCAUCGCUCAACGGAUAAAAGUUACCCUGAGGAUAACAGGCUGAUCUCCCCCAAGAGUCCACAUCGACGGGGAGGUUUGGCACCUCGAUGUCGGCUCAUCGCAUCCUGGGGCUGUAUUCGGUCCCAAGGGUUUGGCUGUUCGCCAAUUAAAGCGGUACGCGAGCUGGGUUCAGAACGUCGUGAGACAGUUCGGUCCCUAUCUGUCGUGGGCGCAGGAUAUUUGAUGGGAGCUGUCCCUAGUACGAGAGGACCGGGACGGACGUACCUCUGGCGCACCAGUUGUUCCGCCAGGAGCAUAGCUGGGCAACUACGUACGGAUCGGAUAAACGCUGAAAGCAUCUAAGCGUGAAGCCGACCCAAAGAUAAGAUAUCCCACUGAUUAGAUCAGGUAAGAUCCCUUGAAGACUACAAGGUUGAUAGGCACGAUGUGUAAGUGGAGUGAUCCAUUCAGCAAGAGUGUACUAAUAGAUCGAGGGCUUGAUCA
rnacentral:rRNA from 1 species